rnacentral:lncRNA from 1 species
GGUCUCUGCCUCUCGAUGCCUCUUUCUCAAGACCUCAGAUUCUGCCUCCGCGUCUGUGACGGCCUGCUGCUCGUAUGCUAGUUGGACCUUCAAUUGCUGCAGCUCAGCCAUCCUUUCCCCGAGGCCGACAGAAAGCCCUUCGACGGUUCCUCUUAGGGACUGGAGUUCAUUAGAAUCCCGAGCAGAAGUAAGCUGAGCCCUGUCAGCCAGCUGCCUCUGAAGACGGGCGACUUCGUCGGCCGCCACCCUGAGUCUCGCUUUAUAUUCAUCCACCUGCCUGCACCAACCGGCCCG